rnacentral:rRNA from 1 species
UACGUAGGGUGCGAGCGUUGUCCGGAAUUAUUGGGCGUAAAGGGCUCGUAGGCGGUUUGUCGCGUCGGGAGUGAAAACUCAGGGCUUAACCCUGAGCCUGCUUCCGAUACGGGCAGACUAGAGGUAUGCAGGGGAGAACGGAAUUCCUGGUGUAGCGGUGAAAUGCGCAGAUAUCAGGAAGAACACCGAUGGCGAAGGCAGCUCUCUGGGACGGUACUGACGCUGAGACGCGAAAGCGUGGGGAGCAAACAGG